UGUUAUAAUUCUCAGAGAUGUUUCGACGAGUUUCGGCAGUCGAACGGCGGAGGUGGCACGGUGUGGAGGUGUACGGAGACGGGGUUCAGGGGUAGAAGUGAUCGUGUUUUUUUUUUGUUUUUUUAUUGUUUUAUUGGAUUGAGAAGAAGUGUUUUUGUUUGGAUUUUUUUUAUUUUUGUUUUUUGUAAACGAAGAACGAGUUGAUUUUUUUAGGAGUCCACAUCCUGUGCUUCGUGUUCUAAUACGGUGCUGUAGUUUGUAACCUGGUCAGUCAUCAGCGUGGGUGGAC